ensembl:lncRNA
GUUGUUACUUUUCAAGGCACGGAGCAGAUGGGGAUGGGGCAAAAUGCAGCCAUCAGUGGAGCAGAUAUGUAUGCACAACUCCUGUCCCAGCUACCCCAUAUCACAACCAAGAAGAACCCUGGGCCAUAGUCAAGCUAGCCUGCAAAGAAAAUUCCAGAAAUAUUUUUUUGGUGUUUAUGGUUUUUAAAUCCUUACCAUAUAACCAUCAGUCCUCUUCAUUGGGGUCAGAAUCAUCUAUGGCACCUGCUGGGGAGUUCAUGAAGGUUUAUUUGAAGACAUUAGACAUCUGCCGGGUUGGAAGACACAGCUGCCUGUAGAAAAAAAUCACAAGAGUCAGGUGCCAGCCAUAGAGAUACCCCUGAGGACCUAUCUGCAAUGAGCCCUAAUUGAAUGAAGAUUGAUGGGAACAGAAUUUCCAAGGCCAUUUACAGAUGAAGGUGCCAGCUUCCUAAGCCAUGACUGCCAUGAACUGCAAGAGCUAAUAUUCAUCCCUCAAGCCCUCCCUGCCAUCACCAUGAAGGAGCUUCGUCAUUCUUCUCUGGUGACCCUGAACAGCAUUUCAGCUGGCCUCCUAAGGCAGAAGGUUAAAGAAGCCUAUGAAAUCCUCUCUUUUGAACACAAAUAGUACUGGAUCAGGAAAAAUUCACGUAAAAGAAGCUCUUCCCACCAAAUAUUCCCACAUUCCUGUCAUGACAUCUGUGGAGAUGAAGAAGAAUAAAAAUGGAACAGCCCUUCUCUCUAUAAACUUCACUACCUCAGAACCAUCUCAGGCUUGGCUACUCAUGAAAGGUUCAUAUGGCCCGUGAGAGCAGCUGACAGCUCUCAAGGGGCUGUCUUGGCCGGAGAGAAUAGACUUGCUGUGUGUGGUGUGUGGCCACAAAGAGCACCUGGAUGGGCACUGUAACUCAGGAGAGAGCAUAUCUUUUUUGUCGUGGGAGCUCUCCCACCUUGGACCAGUCACCUGCAGAAUGGUAUACUCCACACCAGUCCAAGAUGUUGGCAUGGACCAGUCU